GUGGCCUCUACAGUUUAUCGGGCCAGCAUCAGUUUGGGCGGUAGGAGAAUUGCGUUGGAAUGUGGCACGGCUUCGGUUGUGUGUUAUAGCCUUCGUCGAUACUGCCAGCCUAGACUGAGGACUGCGGUUUAUACCUAGGAUGUUGGCAUA
rnacentral:rRNA from 1 species